rnacentral:rRNA from 1 species
GUAGUCAUAUGCUUGUCUCAAAGAUUAAGCCAUGCAUGUCUGAGUAUAAGCAACUUGUACUGUGAAACUGCGAAUGGCUCAUUAAAUCAGUUAUCGUUUAUUUGAUAGUACCUUACUACAUGGAUACCUGUGGUAAUUCUAGAGCUAAUACAUGCUAAAAACCCCGACUUCAGGAAGGGGUGUAUUUAUUAGAUAAAAAACCAACGCCCUCGGGGAAGCCGAAUUC